rnacentral:rRNA from 1 species
UGGCUCAGGAUGAACGCUGGCGGCGUGCUUAACACAUGCAAGUCGAACGGAGUGAAUAAACGGAAGUUUUCGGAUGGAAGAUUUAUUUACUUAGUGGCGGACGGGUGAGUAACGCGUGGGUAACCUGCCGUAUACAGGGGGAUAACACUUAGAAAUAGGUGCUAAUACCGCAUAAGCGCACAGCUUCGCAUGAAGCAGUGUGAAAAGCCUUGACGGUAUACGAUGGACCCGCGUCUGAUUAGCUAGUUGGUGAGGUAGAGGCUCACCAAGGCGACGAUCAGUAGCCGGCCUGAGAGGGUGACCGGCCACAUUGGGACUGAGACACGGCCCAAACUCCUACGGGAGGCAGCAGUGGGGAAUAUUGCACAAUGGGGGAAACCCUGAUGCAGCGACGCCGCGUGAGUGAAGAAGUAUUUCGGUAUGUAAAGCUCUAUCAGCAGGGAAGAAAAUGACGGUACCUGACUAAGAAGCCCCGGCUAACUACGUG